rnacentral:rRNA from 1 species
UACGUAGGGUGCGAGCGUUGUCCGGAAUUACUGGGCGUAAAGAGCUCGUAGGUGGUUUGUCGCGUCGUCUGUGAAAUUCCGGGGCUUAACUUCGGGCGUGCAGGCGAUACGGGCAAUACUUGAGUGCUGUAGGGGAGACUGGAAUUCCUGGUGUAGCGGUGGAAUGCGCAGAUAUCAGGAGGAACACCGAUGGCGAAGGCAGGUCUCUGGGCGGUAACUGACGCUGAGGAGCGAAAGCAUGGGUAGCGAACAGGAUUAGAUA